ACCUGCGUUCACGAGGGGCUGAGGUCUCACCUGUGACUCGGUAGUUGAUGGCGCAGGGAGGGGACCUCUGAAAGCGCUUCCCGUGUUCCAUGGGUUUGAGCCCAUUGCUCCCAAACCCUGUUGCUUUCGGACA